UGUGAGCUCGAUGAGUAGGGCGGGACACGUGGUAUCCUGUCUGAAUAUGGGGGGACCAUCCUCCAAGGCUAAAUACUCCUGACUGACCGAUAGUGAACCAGUACCGUGAGGGAAAGGCGAAAAGAACCCCGGCGAGGGGAGUGAAAAAGAACCUGAAACCGUGUACGUACAAGCAGUGGGAGCCUCUUAAUGGGGUGACUGCGUACCUUUUGUAUAAUGGGUCAGCGACUUAUAUUCUGUAGCAAGGUUAACCGAAUAGGGGAGCCGAAGGGAAACCGAGUCUUAACUGGGCGUUAAGUUGCAGGGUAUAGACCCGAAACCCGGUGAUCUAGCCAUGGGCAGGUUGAAGGUUGGGUAACACUAACUGGAGGACCGAACCGACUAAUGUUGAAAAAUUAGCGGAUGACUUGUGGCUGGGGGUGAAAGGCCAAUCAAACCGGGAGAUAGCUGGUUCUCCCCGAAAGCUAUUUAGGUAGCGCCUCGUGAAUUCAUCUCCGGGGGUAGAGCACUGUUUCGGCAAGGGGGUCAUCCCGACUUACCAACCCGAUGCAAACUGCGAAUACCGGAGAAUGUUAUCACGGGAGACACACGGCGGGUGCUAACGUCCGUCGUGAAGAGGGAAACAACCCAGACCGCCAGCUAAGGUCCCAAAGUCAUGGUUAAGUGGGAAACGAUGUGGGAAGGCCCAGACAGCCAGGAUGUUGGCUUAGAAGCAGCCAUCAUUUAAAGAAAGCGUAAUAGCUCACUGGUCGAGUCGGCCUGCGCGGAAGAUGUAACGGGGCUAAACCAUGCACCGAAGCUGCGGCAGCGACACUAUGUGUUGUUGGGUAGGGGAGCGUUCUGUAAGCCUGUGAAGGUGGCCUGUGAGGGUUGCUGGAGGUAUCAGAAGUGCGAAUGCUGACAUAAGUAACGAUAAAGCGGGUGAAAAGCCCGCUCGCCGGAAGACCAAGGGUUCCUGUCCAACGUUAAUCGGGGCAGGGUGAGUCGACCCCUAAGGCGAGGCCGAAAGGCGUAGUCGAUGGGAAACAGGUUAAUAUUCCUGUACUUGGUGUUACUGCGAAGGGGGGACGGAGAAGGCUAUGUUGGCCGGGCGACGGUUGUCCCGGUUUAAGCGUGUAGGCUGGUUUUCCAGGCAAAUCCGGAAAACCAAGGCUGAGGCGUGAUGACGAGGCACUACGGUGCUGAAGUGACAAAUGCCCUGCUUCCAGGAAAAGCCUCUAAGCAUCAGGUAACAUCAAAUCGUACCCCAAACCGACACAGGUGGUCAGGUAGAGAAUACCAAGGCGCUUGAGAGAACUCGGGUGAAGGAACUAGGCAAAAUGGUGCCGUAACUUCGGGAGAAGGCACGCUGAUAUGUAGGUGAAGCGACUUGCUCGUGGAGCUGAAAUCAGUCGAAGAUACCAGCUGGCUGCAACUGUUUAUUAAAAACACAGCACUGUGCAAACACGAAAGUGGACGUAUACGGUGUGACGCCUGCCCGGUGCCGGAAGGUUAAUUGAUGGGGUUAGCGGUAACGCGAAGCUCUUGAUCGAAGCCCCGGUAAACGGCGGCCGUAACUAUAACGGUCCUAAGGUAGCGAAAUUCCUUGUCGGGUAAGUUCCGACCUGCACGAAUGGCGUAAUGAUGGCCAGGCUGUCUCCACCCGAGACUCAGUGAAAUUGAACUCGCUGUGAAGAUGCAGUGUACCCGCGGCAAGACGGAAAGACCCCGUGAACCUUUACUAUAGCUUGACACUGAACAUUGAGCCUUGAUGUGUAGGAUAGGUGGGAGGCUUUGAAGUGUGGACGCCAGUCUGCAUGGAGCCGACCUUGAAAUACCACCCUUUAAUGUUUGAUGUUCUAACGUUGGCCCCUAAUCGGGGUUGCGGACAGUGUCUGGUGGGUAGUUUGACUGGGGCGGUCUCCUCCUAAAGAGUAACGGAGGAGCACGAAGGUUGGCUAAUCCUGGUCGGACAUCAGGAGGUUAGUGCAAUGGCAUAAGCCAGCUUGACUGCGAGCGUGACGGCGCGAGCAGGUGCGAAAGCAGGUCAUAGUGAUCCGGUGGUUCUGAAUGGAAGGGCCAUCGCUCAACGGAUAAAAGGUACUCCGGGGAUAACAGGCUGAUACCGCCCAAGAGUUCAUAUCGACGGCGGUGUUUGGCACCUCGAUGUCGGCUCAUCACAUCCUGGGGCUGAAGUAGGUCCCAAGGGUAUGGCUGUUCGCCAUUUAAAGUGGUACGCGAGCUGGGUUUAGAACGUCGUGAGACAGUUCGGUCCCUAUCUGCCGUGGGCGCUGGAGAACUGAGGGGGGCUGCUCCUAGUACGAGAGGACCGGAGUGGACGCAUCACUGGUGUUCGGGUUGUCAUGCCAAUGGCACUGCCCGGUAGCUAAAUGCGGAAGAGAUAAGUGCUGAAAGCAUCUAAGCACGAAACUUGCCCCGAGAUGAGUUCUCCCUGACUCCUUGAGAGUCCUGAAGGAACGUUGAAGACGACGACGUUGAUAGGCCGGGUGUGUAAGCGCAGCGAUGCGUUGAGCUAACCGGUACUAAUGAACCGUGAGGCUUAACCUU
rnacentral:rRNA from 2 species